rnacentral:rRNA from 1 species
GAUGAACGCUGGCGGCGUGCCUAAUACAUGCAAGUCGAGCGAACAGACGAGGAGCUUGCUCCUCUGACGUUAGCGGCGGACGGGUGAGUAACACGUGGAUAACCUACCUAUAAGACUGGGAUAACUUCGGGAAACCGGAGCUAAUACCGGAUAAUAUAUUGAACCGCAUGGUUCAAUAGUUAAAGACGGUUUUGCUGUCACUUAUAGAUGGAUCCGCGCCGCAUUAGCUAGUUGGUAAGGUAACGGCUUACCAAGGCAACGAUGCGUAGCCGACCUGAGAGGGUGAUCGGCCACACUGGAACUGAGACACGGUCCAGACUCCUACGGGAGGCAGCAGUAGGGAAUCUUCCGCAAUGGGCGAAAGCCUGACGGAGCAACGCCGCGUGAGUGAUGAAGGUCUUCGGAUCGUAAAACGAUGUUAUUAGGGAAGAACAAAUGUGUAAGUAACUAUGCACGUAUUGACGGUACCUAAUCAGAAAGCCACGGCUAACUACGUG